GAUUUCAGCUGAAAAAGUCAUCAACAAUAAAGUUGUAUAACUCAUCAAGAUCUAUAACUUCUAUUUUGAUCAUUUCUUUAUCCGAUAAAGUGAUCAUAACAUAUUCUUAAAAUUUACAUCUCUCUUAUAGUUUAUAAAACUAUAAGUUAUAAACUAUAAGAGAUGUGUACAUUUUGUGAACAAUGUUACAAAUCACUUUAUCGAAUAAAGAAAUGACCAAAAUAGAAAUUAUAGAUCUUGAUGACUUAUACAAUUUUAUUGUUGAUGACUUUUUCAGUUGAAAUC
rnacentral:pre_miRNA from 1 species